GACGAACGCUGGCGGCGUGCCUAAUACAUGCAAGUAGAACGCUGAAGGAGGAGCUUGCUCUUCUGGAUGAGUUGCGAACGGGUGAGUAACGCGUAGGUAACCUGCCUGGUAGCGGGGGAUAACUAUUGGAAACGAUAGCUAAUACCGCAUAAGAGUAGAUGUUGCAUGACAUUUGCUUAAAAGGUGCAAUUGCAUCACUACCAGAUGGACCUGCGCUGUAUUAGCUAGUUGGUGGGGUAACGGCUCACCAAGGCGACGAUACAUAGCCGACCUGAGAGGGUGAUCGGCCACACUGGGACUGAGACACGGCCCAGACUCCUACGGGAGGCAGCAGUAGGGAAUCUUCGGCAAUGGACGGAAGUCUGACCGAGCAACGCCGCGUGAGUGAAGAAGGUUUUCGGAUCGUAAAGCUCUGUUGUAAGAGAAGAACGAGUGUGAGAGUGGAAAGUUCACACUGUGACGGUAUCUUACCAGAAAGGGACGGCUAACUACGUG
rnacentral:rRNA from 1 species